rnacentral:rRNA from 1 species
GGACGAACGCUGGCGGCGUGCUUACCACAUGCAAGUCGAACGGAAAGGCCCUGCUUUUGUGGGGUGCUCGAGUGGCGAACGGGUGAGUAACACGUGAGUAACCUGCCCUUGACUUUGGGAUAACUUCAGGAAACUGGGGCUAAUACCGGAUAGGAGCUCCUGCUGCAUGGUGGGGGUUGGAAAGUUUCGGCGGUUGGGGAUGGACUCGCGGCUUAUCAGCUUGUUGGUGGGGUAGUGGCUUACCAAGGCUUUGACGGGUAGCCGGCCUGAGAGGGUGACCGGCCACAUUGGGACUGAGAUACGGCCCAGACUCCUACGGGAGGCAGCAGUGGGGAAGAUUGCACAAUGGGCGGAAGCCUGAUGCAGCAACGCCGCGUGCGGGAUGACGGCCUUCGGGUUGUAAACCGCUUUCGCCUGUGACGAAGCGUGAGUGACGGUAAUGGGUAAAGAAGCACCGGCUAACUACGU